rnacentral:rRNA from 1 species
GACGAACGCUGGCGGCGUGCUUAACACAUGCAAGUCGAACGGAAAGGCCCUGCUUUUGUGGGGUUCUCGAGUGGCGAACGGGUGAGUAACACGUGAAUAACCUGGCCAUGGCUUUGUGAUAACUUGAGGAAACUGCGGCUACUACCGGAUAGCAGCUCCUGCAGCAUGGUGGGGGUUGGAAAGUUUCGGCGGUUGGUGAUGGACUCGAGGCUUAUCAGCUUGUUGGUGGGGGAGUGGCUUACCAAGGCUGUGACUGGUAGUUGGCCUGCGAGGUUGACCGGCCACAUUGGGACUGAGAUACGGACCAGACUGCUACGGGAGGCAGCAGUGGGGAAUAUUGCACAAUGGGCGGAAGCCUGAUACAGAAACGCCGCGAGCGGGAUGACGGCCUUCGGGGUGUAAACCGCUGUCGCCUGUGACGAAGCGGGAGUGACGGUAAUGGGUAAAGAAGCACCGGCUAACUACGUG